UACGGAGGAUGCAAGCGUUAUCCGGAAUGAUUGGGCGUAAAGCGUCCGCAGGUGGCAAUGUAAGUCUGCUGUCAAAGCGUCUGGCUCAACCAGAUAAAGGCAGUGGAAACUACAUAGCUAGAGUAAGGUAGGGGUAGAGGGGAUUCCUGGUGUAGCGGUGAAAUGCGUAGAGAUCAGGAAGAACACCGGUGGCGAAAGAGCUCUGCUGGACCUUAACUGACACUGAGGGACGAAAGCUAGGGGAGCGAAUGGG
rnacentral:rRNA from 1 species